AUUGAACGCUGGCGGCAUGCUUUACACAUGCAAGUCGAACGGUAACAGGUUAAGCUGACGAGUGGCGAACGGGUGAGUAAUGCAUCGGAACGUACCCAAUCGUGGGGGAUAACGCAGCGAAAGCUGCGCUAAUACCGCAUACGAUCUGAGGAUGAAAGCGGGGGACCGUAAGGCCUCGCGCGAUCGGAGCGGCCGAUGUCAGAUUAGGUAGUUGGUGGGGUAAAGGCUCACCAAGCCAACGAUCUGUAGCUGGUCUGAGAGGACGACCAGCCACACUGGGACUGAGACACGGCCCAGACUCCUACGGGAGGCAGCAGUGGGGAAUUUUGGACAAUGGCGAAAGCCUGAUCCAGCAAUGCCGCGUGCAGGAAGAAGGCCUUCGGGUUGUAAACUGCUUUUGUACGGAGCGAAAAGGCUCUCUCUAAUACAGGGGGCUCAUGACGGUACCGUAAGAAUAAGCACCGGCUAACUACGUGCCAGCCGCCGCUGUAA
rnacentral:rRNA from 1 species